rnacentral:rRNA from 1 species
CCGCAUACGUCCUACGGGAGAAAGUGGGGGCUCUUCGGACCUCACGCUAUUGGAUGAGCCUAAGUCGGAUUAGCUUGUUGGUGGGGUAAAGGCCUACCAAGGCGACGAUCCGUAGCUGGUCUGAGAGGACGAUCAGCCACACUGGGACUGAGACACGGCCCAGACUCCUACGGGAGGCAGCAGUGGGGAAUAUUGGACAAUGGGGGCAACCCUGAUCCAGCAAUGCCGCGUGUGUGAAGAAGGCCUGCGGGUUGUAAAGCACUUUCAGUAGAGAAGAAAAGCUCAGGGUUAAUACCCCUGGGUCUUGACGUAACCUACAGAAGAAGCACCGGCUAACUCCGUGCCAGCAGCCGCGGUAAUACGGAGGGUGCGAGCGUUAAUCGGAAUUACUGGGCGUAAAGCGCGCGUAGGCGGUUGGAUUAGUCGGAUGUGAAAGCCCAGGGCUUAACCUUGGAAUUGCAUUCGAUACUGUCCAGCUAGAGUAUGGGAGAGGGAAGCGGAAUUUCCGGUGUAGCGGUGAAAUGCGUAGAUAUCGGAAGGAACACCCAUUGGCGAAGGCGGCUUUCCUGAACCAAUACUGAACGCUGAGGUGGGAAAGCGUGGGGAGCGAACCGGAAUAGAUACCCUGGGUAUCCACGCCGGAAACGAAGAAAACCUGAUGGUGGGAAGGAUUGGCCCUUCCGUGUCGCAGCUAAAGGCU